AUUGAACGCUGGCGGCAUGCCUUAUACAUGCAAGUCGAACGGCCGCGCGGGCUUCGGCCUGCUGGCGAGUGGCGAACGGGCGAGUAAUGCAUCCGUACGUGCCCUGCAGUGGGGGCUAGCAUGGCGUCAGCAGGCCUAAUCUAGUACACGACAUGAGGGUGAACGCGGGGGUUCGAAAGGCAUAGAGCGAUUGGCGCGCCCGUAGUCGGAUUAGCUAGUUGGUGAGGUAAAGGCUUACCAAGGCGACGAUCCGUAGCAGGUCUGAGAGGCCGACCUGCCACACUGGAACUGAGACACGGCCCAGACUCCUACGGGAGGCAGCAGUGGGGAAUUUUGGACAAUGGGGGCAACCCCGAUCCAGCCAUGCCGCGUGAGGGAAGAAGGCCUUCGGAUUGUAAACCUCUUUUAUUCGGGAAGAAAACCUCUGUACUAAAACCCCCAGGUGAUGACGGUACCUAAAGAGAAAGCACCGGCUAACUACGUG
rnacentral:rRNA from 1 species